rnacentral:rRNA from 1 species
GACGAACGCUGGCGGCGUGCUUAACACAUGCAAGUCGAACGGAAAGGCCCUGCUUGCAGGGUGCUCGAGUGGCGAACGGGUGAGUAACACGUGGGUGAUCUGCCCCUUACUUUGGGAUAAGCCUGGGAAACUGGGUCUAAUACUGGAUAGGACCAUGCUGUAGGUGGUGUGGUGGAAAGAUUAGUUUCGGUAAGGGAUGAGCUCGCGGCCUAUCAGCUUGUUGGUGGGGUAAUGGCCUACCAAGGCGUCGACGGGUAGCCGGCCUGAGAGGGUGGACGGCCACAUUGGGACUGAGAUACGGCCAGACUCCUACGGGAGGCAGCAGUGGGGAAUAUUGCACAAUGGGCGCAAGCCUGAUGCAGCGACGCCGCGUGGGGGAUGACGGCCUUCGGGUUGUAAACUCCUUUCAGCCAUGACGAAGCCCUUGUGGUGACGGUAGUGGUAGAAGAAGCACCGGCUAACUACGUG